CGCGGGGAGAGCAAGCGCCGGUGCGCCGCGGGCUCCAGGCUGCAUCGCUCCGCAACGCGCUUCGUAUUUACAAAAGAGCGGGGACAGAGAGCUAUCCUCAGCGGAGCGCCCACCACCACCCCCAAGAACCUCCUGGAUACUUCGGACAAGCCAGAGUCACAGGUCCCUGGUGUGAACAGUGAGGAGGAGGUGUUGGAUGAGGAAGAGGAGAAGGAGGAGUAUGGGGGACAGGCGAUUGGGGGAUCCAGUGGCACAGCAAGCCAGGACCUGGUUUGACUCCAGAGCAGUCGAGCCAGUCCCUAUAAAGUCCAGCACAGCUAGAAAUGUGGCCUGGAGGGUGUCUCCGUCUACACCAGCAAAGUGGCUCAGCCAAAUGAGGAGGAGAAGGAAGAGGACGUGAGAUGACAUGUUCCAAGAGAUCCUGCAAGCUUCUGGUGCUUCAGACACCGAGCACAGAGCUUGGAGUAUCACUCUCAUGGACAGAAUGGACAGGGAUAGAGUGGAGAGGAGAAAAUCACAGGAAAAGGAGAGAGAUGUGCAGCGGAAGAUGCUACCACUUCUCAAGCAGCAAGCAGACAUGCUAGAAACUCUUGUUGACCUUCAGGUUCAAUAGACCCGUGUUCGCCUCCCUCUGCAGCCCAUAGAGAACUGCAUUCUGGGACCUCCCUACUCACCCUUCCACAUUCCCAGUGGUAUCCGGGGCCACUGCAUUACCCCCAUCACUCCACCUUGGGAGAGAGUACAAACAAUCACAGCCGCACAUACACUGACCUGUGAGACAAACGGUUGGUGUAUGUGUUUGUGAAAUGAAAAUGACUAUUCUUUCCCCUUCAAAGGUUCUCUUCCCUGUAUUCAUAAAGUUUCAUUCAGUUAUAAAUGUGUCUGUUUGCAUGGGUUUGGAAUAAAAGUCUAUUUAUGGAA